rnacentral:rRNA from 1 species
CCUACGGGAGGCAGCAGUGGGGGAUAUUGGACAAUGGGGGGAACCCUGAUCCAGCGACGCCGCGUGAGUGAAGAAGUAUUUCGGUAUGUAAAGCUCUGUCAGCAGGGAAGAAAGAAAUGACGGUACCUGACCAAGAAGCCCCGGCUAACUACGUGCCAGCAGCCGCGGUAAUACGUAGGGGGCAAGCGUUAUCCGGAAUUACUGGGUGUAAAGGGAGCGUAGACGGCAGCACAAGUCUGGAGUGAAAUGCCGGGGCUUAACCCCGGAACUGCUUUGGAAACUGUGCAGCUAGAGUGCAGGAGAGGUAAGUGGAAUUCCUAGUGUAGCGGUGAAAUGCGUAGAUAUUAGGAGGAACACCAGUGGCGAAGGCGGCUUACUGGACUGUAACUGACGUUGAGGCUCGAAAGCGUGGGGAGCAAACAGGAUUAGAUACCCGGGUAGUC